rnacentral:rRNA from 1 species
UACGAAGGGGGCGAGCGUUGUUCGGAAUUACUGGGCGUAAAGGCUCGUAGGCGGCCAACUAAGUCGGACGUGAAAUCCCUCAGCUUAACUGGGGAACUGCGUCCGAUACUGGAUGGCUUGGAUUUGGGAGAGGGAUGUGGAAUUCGAGGUGUAGCGGUGAAAUGCGUAGAUAUACGGAGGAACACCUGCGGCGAAGGCGGGAUAGCUGGGCCAACACUGACGCUGAGACGCGAAAGCUAGGGGAGCAAACGGG